rnacentral:lncRNA from 1 species
AAAGGGAAGGCAGGAGGCGGACAGCUUGGCUGUGACCCUUUAGCGCUGGGUCGCGUGUGGCCCACCCUCGGCCUGAGGCAUUGUUGGGUGGUUGGAGGUGGUUGUAGUAUUUGGAAAAGAACUUGUCCCUGAAGGGCUCAGGGGACUUGGUUUCUCAGCUCCUAAUAUGGAAAAUUAAGGCAUUUCUUACGAGAUGCAGAUUUUAAAGCAGGCAUAUCUACUCGACGGCUUUGGAUUACUGCACUGCACAAAUUCCAGUCUCUGUCGGUUUUGGCUGAGAAGAGCUGUGCUUCUCACCAGCUACUGGUGAGACAUUCGCCCUACAGGAAAGGGUCGGUAUGAUUGUGGACAUUGACAUGCGUAGCAAAAGAAAGUGGCUAAUUUGCGCCAAUAAUAAUAAAUUAGCUUGUAUUUGAAUUAGCCAAGUCUUUGCGGUUUUGCUAACUUGGCUUCACUUUGCAUGGAGUGGGAAGCGCCUGCUUCUGAAAAGGUGACUUUUUUCCUAAUUAGAAUGGACUCCUCUUAAGGCCAUGCAGUUUUCAAAGAAGAAAGACAAGCUGGACGUUUUGUUAGUAACAAAAUGUAGCUGAAGCAGAGAGAGAAGGCAGCAUACGUCAGCAUUUUCUUCUCUGCACUUACAAGAAAGAUCAAAGACUUUAAGACUUUCACUGUUUCUUCUACCGCUAUCUACUACGAGCUUCAAAGAGGAACCAGGAGUAUGGGAGGAGCAUGAAAGUGGACAAGGAACGUGACCAUUGAAGCACAGCACCACAGGGAGGGAUUUAGGCCCCAGGACUGCAGGCAGGCCUGGAUAAUAUCCAGCCUUCCACAAGAAGCUGGUGGAGCAGUGUUCCCUGACUCCUCCAAGGAAAGGAGACUCCCUUUCACGGUCUGCUAAGUAACGGGUGCCUUCCCAGACACUGGCGUUACCGCUUGACCAAGGAGCCCUCAAGCGGCCCUUACGCGGGCGUGACCGAAGGCUCACCUCUUGUCUUCUAGGUCACUUCUCACAAUGUCCCUUCAGCACCUGACCCUAUACCCGCUGGUUAUUCCUAGGUUAUAUUAGUAAUGCAACAAAGAGUAAUAUUAAAAGCUAAUGAUUAAUCAUGUUUAUAAUAAUGAUUGAUAAUUGUCCAUGAUCAUCUCUAUAUCUAAUUUGUAUUAUGACUAUUCUUAUUCUAACUAUUUUCUUUAUUAUACUGAAACAGUUUGUGCCUUCAGUCUCUUGCCUCGGCACCUAGGUAAUCCUCCACCCACAUCCUACUCUUGGACAACAGGAAAAUUAGAAAAGAUAAUGGAGAGCUUUUUCAGAAUGUUGAAUUUAGGAGUUGUGUGUGCUUUUGAUCUCCAUGUCAAUCCAUAAACAAUAAAUCCUGUUCUUAAAUUUGAA